rnacentral:rRNA from 1 species
GAUGAACGCUGGCGGCGUGCCUAAUACAUGCAAGUCGAGCGAACAGACGAGGAGCUUGCUCCUCUGACGUUAGCGGCGGACGGGUGAGUAACACGUGGAUAACCUACCUAUAAGACUGGGAUAACUUCGGGAAACCGGAGCUAAUACCGGAUAAUAUAUUGAACCGCAUGGUUCAAUAGUGAAAGACGGUUUUGCUGUCACUUAUAGAUGGAUCCGCGCCGCAUUAGCUAGUUGGUAAGGUAACGGCUUAUCAAGGCAACGAUGCGUAGCCGACCUGAGAGGGUGAUCGGCCACACUGGAACUGAGACACGGUCCAGACUCCUACGGGAGGCAGCAGUAGGGAAUCUUCCGCAGUGGGCGAAAGCCUGACGGAGCAACGCCGCGUGAGUGAUGAAGGUCUUCGGAUCGUAAAACUCUGUUAUUAGGGAAGAACAAAUGUGUAAGUAACUAUGCACGUCUUGACGGUACCUAAUCAGAAAGCCACGGCUAACUACGUG